CUGAUCUGCUCAGCUCGGGCCUCCCGGAGUCUGGAGCUUCCUUCCUGUCCUGUGCCCUCCUGGCUUCUGCCUGUCCCGGGGUAGUGCCGGAUCUUUGUCUGUGUCCCUGGCGCCCUAUACUCCCCCGCCUGCACUGUUGGAAUC
rnacentral:miRNA from 1 species